rnacentral:rRNA from 1 species
GACGAACGCUGGCGGCGUGCUUAACACAUGCAAGUCGAACGGAAAGGCCUUUUCGGAUGUCCUCGAGUGGCGAACGGGUGAGUAACACGUGGGUGAUCUGCCCUGCACUCUGGGAUAAGCCUGGGAAACUGGGUCUAAUACCGGUUAGGACCGCGCUUGAGAGUGUGUGGUGGAAAGGUUUUUCGGUGUAGGAUUAGCCCGCGGCCGAUCAGCUUGUUGGUGGGGUAAUGGCCUACCAAGGCGGCGACGUGUAGCCGGACUGAGAGGUUGGUCGGCCACACUGAGACUGACAGGCGGCCCCGGCGCCUAAGGGUGGAAGAAGGGGGGAAUCCUGCACCAUGGGCGCAAGCCUGAUGAAGAGAGGCCGCGUGGGGGAUGCCGGCCUUGGGGUUGAAAAAACGCUUCGCCAGGGACGAAGCGGGUUGUGACGGUACCGGAAGAAGAAGCACCGGCUAACUACGUG